UUUCCUCCUAUCAACUUUGCGGUCUGUUUAACUUCUCCACUGCUAAAGACCAAAGUUCAGAGCAUAGUUCCAACUUUAUAGUGGUCGACUCCCUUCAUUCAUGUGAACUUUCCUCAGAGAAGGCUGCAAAAAAAGCCAAGUAUCACACCUGUCACAAAAAUUCUUCGAGUCUUUCCAUUGAGUUCUUUAAGCAGAGCGGUUGGAGUGAUGCACAAGUCAUGAAACUUAUCCGGAAGUCACCGCUGUUGCUGCGUACUAAGGUAGAGACUGCCCUGAAGCCCAGAAUGAGAUCUUUGAAGGACAUGGGAUUUUCUGACACUGAAAUAGUUCAGCUGGUUUCAUCAUGUCCAUCUGUACUCCUUUUACGUGAUAUCCAACCAAAGAUCGACUUCUGGAGGUCACUACUUGGUUCUAAUGAGAGGUUACUGAAUGCCUCUAGGAGGAACAUGUUUCUACUUGGUUCUAGCAUGGAUCGGAAGAUAGAACCUAAUGUAUCUCUCUUAAGGGAAUGUGGCAUCAGUGACAAACGCAUCGUGUAUAUGGUGAUGACAACGCCGGCCAUUAUGGGUCGAUCAAACAAAUAUAUGAAGGAAGCUAUCAAAUUAGUUAAGGAGUUGGGUGUGCCAUGUAACUGUAGAAUGUUCCCUUAUGCACUUAGUAUGGUCACCGGCAUGAGCCGAUCCAGGUUUUAUGAUACCUUUGCAACCCUGAUGAACUUUGGGUUCUCCCUGCAAGACAUCAUAGCUGCAUUCAGGAAGCAUCCAACCAUUUGGUAUUUGUCGAAGAAGAACAUAUGUGACAAGAUGACUUUCCUGUUGAAGGAAGCUGGUUGUGAGCUGACAUAUAUCAUUUCCCAUCCUGUGAUUCUUGCAUACAGCUUGGAGAAGAGGUUGAAACCUCGAUAUGCAAUUCUGAAUUUUCUUGAGCAGAAUAAAUUGCUGGAUAAAGUAUAUAGCCUGAUGUCCGUGAUAAUGCUAUCGGAAAAGAAGUUCCAAAAUAAAUUUCUUUUCCUGCUUCGCGAGGAGAAAUCUAUUGCUCUAUAUGAUUCCUAUUUGAAAUCUGUUGCUCAAUAGGAUUCCUAUGUUGCUGCUGGGCAUGGAAAGCACCAUGUUGUUUGGGAAAAUUAGGAUUGCAUGUGCUUCCUCAGACAAAGUGUCAACUUAUUGCACACUUAUUUAAUCAUGUUAAAUUUGUGACAAUUUAAAUUCUCCAAGGAGCUUCUUUUCUUUUAUUCUUUGGUACAACAAAAGAUACGGAUUCUUUUAUGCAGAAAUAUAGUGAACCAACGGGGAGAAGUCUUACUUAAGAAAGAUAUAAAGGUAACUAAAAUGUUUCAACUCUGUCAGCUAUCUGUGUCAACUUGGCAUCAGUCGUAUUAAUUUAGAUGAUUAAGAACUUGUUAAUUAUGUGAGUAUGAAUAGGGACUAAUAUAUGAUAGUAAAGAGUUAAUUGUGUGAGGGCUUUCUUUGUCAGAAUCCCAUCACCUCUCCACCGGCUCUAAAUUACAUCUCUAUUUAUAUGGAAUGAAACCUCUAUUGUUACAUGUUGUUAAUCAUGCACUAAUAUAUGAUAGUUAAGUGUGAUUUAUUGAAGAUAUCGAUUUACUAUAUACUAUUGUUGAAAAAUGAACCCACGAGAGUAAUACCUUUCGAUUUAUUGUUGGAGCGCACUAACGAAUAUUCAGUUAUGCAAAGAUGAUUAUUAUAAUAUGAUGAUUGAAUUUUGUGUAUACUAUGGUACAUUAGUGCAUGUGGCAAUUAUGAGAUUUAUUAGAUAGUAUCAACAUGCACUAUUGUAAGAGGCCCCGUGAGAUCAACGUGCACUAUUGUGAGAUUUAUUAUAUAGUAUCAACUGUCACCUCUCUCUCCCUCUCUCUCUCUCUUUCUCAGCCCGUGACUGCAUGCAUGCAUCCCAAUAUUCGUUCUAGUCAUCGUUCUAGUCAUAUCCAGACAUACUCACACAUUAAGAAUUUAAGAGUCAUCGGUUCAUCUCAAGCUUGCUUCUUAAUGUUCAAUUUAAUGCACUAAGCAAUAGAUAUGGUUUAAGGUAACAACACUCUCUCGAGUGAAGUGAACGGGUCUCGGCGCCCCCCUGAUUCAAAUCAGAGAGGACUAUAUUGGAUCUGAGCACAACAUAAGUCACUGGAUCUGGUUCGAUGGAACCAAAUGAAGGACUCUCCUCUCUCACACACAACUAUAUCAAUGGCCACGCGUCCAAUGAGAAGACUCGUGGAAACCUAAUCAGCCACCGGCGGCACCGUCUUCCUCUCCAUCCGCGAAUGGCGGCGGCAGCAAUGUCUUCCUCAGCGGGCUCAUCGUUGGUAUCUUUCUCCUCCUCCUCCUCCUCCUCAUCCUUUGCCGUCGCCCACUCUGCCCCAACCGCCUCCCUCCAUCUUCCCGCCCCCACCUUCGCCGUAGCCCCCCCGCGACCGGCGUCUGCCCCUGCCUCUUCCUUUCCCCUCGUCGUAGCCGUCUUACCCCUUCCUUCCUGCGCCGGCGUUUUCCCUUCUCCUCCCUACGUCGGCGUCUUCUUUCAUUGUAUCAUCCUUUCACCCCCGCAGCGUCUUCUCCCCCCUUCGCUUCGCUGCAGCCGCUUGAUAAGACCCUAAGGUUUUAUCAGGGAAAAAAUUGGGAGAAAAGGGGACGAUCACUUCGAGAUGAUCGGCCUCCUUGAUCACUUCGAGGGGAUCGUCGACGGGAACUUGUCUUCGUGCCCGGCACCCAGUGUGCAGCUGUUUGUUCAACAUUCUAAAGUUUUUGUUUUUCUCAUUUAUCUCUUUUCUCUUAUGCACGCAAAGUGUUCGCUGAAUGGCUUUUAAAGCUUUUCUUUUUGUGGGACGUCGGGACUUGUCCGUUGUUUAUUCUUCGAACUAAUCAACUUUUUCUUAUGCACGCAAGGUGUUCGCUGACCUUUGCGGACACAUAUCACAAGGGCACGUCAUGACUUUGGCAAUCCCAAUUAAGUCCAAGAAGUUGACGCAACGGCGCUUUGCGACUUAGGCAACUCAAGCCAAAUUUGUGUCUUGGCCGCAAGGGUGCCUCACGACUUAGGCAAUUCCAGUUAAGUCCGUGACAAGGCGACGGUGAAGAAGGAGGCAACGAGGGUCACGGUUGGGAUGUGUUGGCCGGGAGCAGUGGCGGUGGCGGUUGCUGGCCGAAGAUGCAAGGCUGACCCUGUUUUGGUCGCCGCGAGGAGGAGAGGUCGAGCGGCUGCGGUUGCGAUUGCGACCCAAGGGGGGGCGGGCGACGGUGGAGAAGGAGGCAGCGAGGUUCACGACUGGGAGGUGGGCGACGGUCAUCGUUGGCCGGGAACUUGCUGUGGUGGAGAGGGGAAAGAGGGAUGCUCUGUUUCUAUCGCACCACAGCAGGAGCCACUGGCGAUGUCGAAGGAUCGCGAGCGGUUGAGGAGAAGGCUGGCAACGGUGGUGGCUCGGGUGGGAGGUGACGGGCGACGGUGGACUCUGGCCGGGGAGCGGGGCUGUGGUGGGAUGGGACAUUGGCAGCGUCGUCUCCUGGCAGCGGUGGUGGCUUGGGUGGGAGGCAACAGGCGAUGGUGGACUCCGGCCGGGAAGCAGGGCGGUGGUGGUAGCGGCGGUGGGGUUGGUUGGAAGUAGGGAAAGUAUGAGCCCUUUCCACCAGCGACAGUGGUGGAGGAGAGGGGAAGCAGGGGUUCUCGGUUGUGCGUGGCUGCGCCCCCUUUUUUUUUUUUUAUGAUAACUACAACGAGGACUCCGAGGAUCGCUGCUCUGAUACCAAAUGAUAAGACCCUAGGGUUUUAUUAUGGAAAAAAAGGGAGAAAAGGGGAUGAUCACUUCGAGGGGAUCGACCUCCUAGGGUUUGUCAAAAGACUUAAUAAUAUUUCAUUGUCUCCGAAAAGAAACGAUUACAUCAUUAUUUAUAGAGUUCCACUUAGAAUCCAUCACGACUUGGACUCUUAAUAAUAAAUAAAUAUUAAAUAAAUUUCUAUCCGAUUCUAACUGAAUUAAACAUACUCAAUAAACAUUAUUCAAAAGUUUAGAAAAUAAAAAGGAUCCUAACAUCGCCCCAGCAACCCAACCGACAUUGACAACCAUUCUAACCCGUACCUCCUCCUCCUCCUCGGAUCCUUCAUCCUUGACCCCCUCCCAACUGACAACAACCCCCUCUUCAUCCUCCUCCUUCUAUGUAAAUUGUUUUAUUAAUAUAGAUUUGAACAAGUAUUAUUUGGUCCUUUAAAUGAUUACCAUGUUUCUUUUUUUGUUUUAGCGAUUAUAUCUAUUAAUCAUGAUAUAUACUUUUAAAAUUUUAAGAAGCAUCUCUCUUCACUUGGGCCAGCGCCUAGCCAAGCACCUAGCAUCUCAGGCGUUUUGACACUUUGGCGUCGUUUAGUGUCUCUCACCCGCGACCACACUGCUAUAGCACAACUUGGUUCACUUGUUUGGUUCCAUUUAAUUAUUCAGACCCAUGCAUGUUGCCACACUUGGUUGAUGUUAGUUUUCAUGCUUGGUCCUUUAUGUGCAUGUUUGAAUUCAUCUGAACCAAAUUGAGCACAUCACAGCUCCACAAAAAAAUCAUUGGAUUUGAGCUGCAUUGGUUAUAUAUGUAUUCUAAAAAUGUUAUGAGAUUCAAGUGAGAUUGUCUUGAUUCAAUUUUAACCUAAACAUGUUUCAGCUGCAUUCCCUCGCAACAAGUUCUAUGCAUAAACUAACCUGUCCAUGAGUCCCUCAUGCAUAAUGUCUGCCUGCAUAUACAUGUUUGAUUGCAUGCCAUUAUCUUAUUGUAUCAAUCUUUUGAUCCUAUUAUUAUUUUUUUUGUUGCUUACCACAUAAGUCGGUUGGUUCUAAAAUGGUUAUGAAUGGCAAAGAAGUUUGUAAUAUGACUUUUGUUUAUCGUUACCUAUUUGUUGCUCAGACAUAAUAAUAUAUGUGCAAUUUAGUUAUCAGAUAGAACCACACACAUGGGAACAUUGCACAUAUUUCUUGUCUGUUUUUGGCUCUUGUGGUAACUUCAUCACAUAAGUGCUGAUUCCGGUGUCUUGCAUUGAACCACAGUAAUGAAUUGCUGGACCUCCUUUCGCAUGUAUUUACUAAUUAUGCAUACAGAAUGCAUUUAUAUAUUUGAUUUUGUGGCUAACGGAUUGUCUAUAUUAAUGGGAUUUGGAGAGGGCAGUUAGGUACUAGAAGCUAUUAGGAGCUGUCACUGUAUCUUCAUGCUAUCCUCUUCACAUCGAAGCUCUCAUUUUUCUUUUUUGUUGUUGUACAUGCCUCUGGAUCGUUCAUCAAUCAAUGUGAUUUUGUAUUUUGCUGUGCUUAGAUUUUAUUUUUCAUUUUUUUCUUCUUUUCAUUUCUUUGCUAUGAGAUGGUAGAUUUGUGCCUUGGCGGUCAUUAUAAACUGUGGUUUCAUUUUACAUUUUGAAACAUUAGUCAUUUUGGCAUCCAAAAUAAUUUUAUGUGACAUUUCAAAUUUCCUAUGACAUCAAUUACUUUGUUUUGUUCUUGAACAUUGGUACAGUGACAUGGUAUAAGUGAUCUUUUAUACAUGCUCAUUUGGUGAUCAUUGUAACUCGUAAAGGAGGUCAUGAAAAUAAUUUUGACUAAUAUUAGUUUAAAUUUACUUUACUUGAUUGUGGCCCAGAUAAUGUAAUCAAAUGUGGUGCUCGGCAUUUGAAAAUUUUCUUAUUAUACAAUAUCUCCAAUGAUGCGUAUUUAGUGACAACUGAAUUAAUUUCUGGCUCUUGGAUAUGAGCUGGUUCAGAACUGACCUUAGAUGGUGAAUUUUUCAAUCUCAGAUGUUCAAUGUUCUGAAAAUGCAUGCAUGUCAUUUACGAGCAUUUACUUUGGAGAAACAGCAAGCAACAACAUGCAAGUUAAAUACUGUUUAUUAAGAUGGACAGCAGGAGAAGUGCUGCUUUUAGAGAUAGAAAAGAGAAUUGGAAAGUUUUUUGACAAAAAAAAAGCUUGGAAAAGAUUGAACAAGAGAUAGCAGAGACUGUAAUUGUGUUACUGGCCAAAGAAAAUUAUAUUCAUUUGUCAAUAGAAUCAUGCAUACGUCUGGUGAUUCCUCAUGUGAAGGAUUUUAUUUAUAAAUAUAUCUGAGAUAGUACUAAUCUGAUUAGGUUUCCCAAAAGAAGCCCUCUAAACAGCAGCUGCUUGCUUUGAUAAAAGUGUUUGGUUCAUCAAACCUCUUAGUUUCCUUAUUAUGCCUACCACCACAAUUUCCUUUUCAAACACACCAAAACAUUUCAACAAUCAUCAAAACCCCAAAUGGUUCAAAGGACUUGACUCUCACUAAAAGUACAAGCUGAGCAAACAAUUAGAAUGUGACUUGAUUUCCAAACCCCAAAGUAGACCCAAAAUUUCAAUGUGUUUGGUUAGGUGUAACCUUACAUCUUUAUGUCGGCAUAGUGUGGUCUCCUCUGCAGGCUGAUAACAACUCUCUUGGCAACUUGAUACAUGUUUGUACCUCAAAAGAUAUUGGUGUUCUUAUAUUUGAAUUACCAUUCCUGUAUUUCUACUAGUAGCAAUAGAAAAAUAUUUGAAUUUUCUUAAUUCAACCACAGAUGUUUUCUUACACAGAAUUCAUUGAUGCAAAGGAUGCAUAUAGCGGAUAUGACUUUUAUUAUUGUUGUGCUUGUUUGCACUUGCUCGUUUUAUUGGCAAAUUCUCACAGAUCUAGGUUAUGUUGGUGAAACUUCUCAGUAAGAAAUAUUUCUUCCUUAUUAAUGACAUCAAGGUAUUUUUAAUACUGUAGCUGAAGCUAUUUGCACGAGCUGUCUUUCUCUAAAAUUAAGUUCCUUUAUCAACAUUGAACCAAAUAAACUAGUAGCCUUUCUUGAUCGAGGCACCUUUCUUACCUCUUGGUUCAUUUUAUGGAAAAUUUGUUGCCUUUCUCAGGUCUUUCAGCUAAGUUGCAAUUUUUUGUCUAGUUGUAUUAACAAUGUCUUUUCUACUUACCAGUCUUUCUAGUUGUAGUAGGAAUUAGUGAUCUCUGAAAGAAAUGGCUAAUGGAAACUGAAUGCAGGUGGGUUAACGUGAGUGGUAGACGAAUGUCCUCUGAUCAGAUGAUUAGUUGAAAGUUUUCAACUUCCUUUUGGUUGGAAGCAGAUACAGAAAAUAUAUUAGUUUGGGUGCCCUUGAUUCGAGGUAGAAGAGGAAGCUGAACAUAGAGCAGGCAGCAAUAAGACUACUUUUCUUGUAUUUUUCUGCAAACAGUACGUGAUACUGCUUCAAAAGAUCAUGUUUUUGGUGCAAAAGAGGCUCUUUCGCUGUCUCCCAAGUAACAAGUCCACUAUCCAUCUUUCCUCCCAUCAACUUUGCAAUCUGUUUAACUUCUCCACUGCUAAAGACCAAAGUUCAGAGCAUAGUUCCAACUUUAUAGUGGUCGACUCCCUUCAUUCAUGUGAACUUUCCUCAGAGAAGGCUGCAAAAAAAGCCAAGUAUCACACCUGUCACAAAAAUUCUUCGAGUCUUUCCAUUGAGUUCUUUAAGCAGAGCGGUUGGAGUGAUGCACAAGUCAUGAAACUUAUCCAGAGGUCACCGCUGUUGCUGCGUACUAAGGUAGAGACUGUCCUGAAGCCCAGAAUGAGAUCUUUGAAGGACAUGGGAUUUUCUGACACUGAAAUAGUUCAGCUGGUUUCUUCAUGUCCAUCUGUACUACUUAUACGUGAUAUCCAACCAAAGAUCAACUUCUGGAGGUCACUACUUUGUUCUAAUGAGAGGUUACUGAAAGCCUCUAGGAGGAACUUGUUUCUACUUACUUCUAGCUUGGCUCGGAAGAUAAAACCUAAUAUAUCUCUCUUAAGGGAAUGUGGCAUCAGUGACAAACUCAUCGCGAAUAUGGUGGUGACAGGGCCAGCCAUUUUGGGUCGAUCAAACAAAUGUAUGAAGGAAGCUAUCAAAUAUGUUGAGGAGUUGGGUGUGCCACGUAACUGUAGAAUGUUCCCUUAUGCACUUAAAAUAGUCGCUGGCAUGAGCCGAUCCAGGUUUGAUGCUACCUUUGCAACCCUGAUGAACUUUGGGUUCUCCCAGUCAGACAUCAUUGAUGUAUUCAGGAAGCAACCAACCGUUUGGGUUUUCUCAAAGAAGAACAUUUGUGACAAGAUGACUUUCCUGAUGAAGGAAGCUGGUUGUGAGCUGACAUAUAUCAUUUCCCAUCCUGCGAUUCUUAUAUACAGCUUGGAGAAGAGGUUGAAACCUCGAUAUGAAAUUCUGAAUUUUCUUGAGCAGAAUAAAUUGCUGGAUAAAGUAAAUGGCCUGAUAACCAUGAUAAUGCUAUCGGAAAAGAAGUUCCGAAAUAAAUUUCUUUUCCUGCUUCGCGAGGAGAAAUAUAUUGCUCUAUAUGAUUCCUAUGUUGCUGCUGUGCAUGGAAAGCGCCAUGUUGUUGUGGAAAAUUAGGAUUGCAAGUGCUUCCUUAGACAAAGUGUGAACCUAUUGCAUACUGACUGUAUUAUUUAAUCAUGUAAAAUUUGUGACAAUUUAAAUUCUCUAAGAGUUACUUCUUACGGUAGAACGUCCAUGUUGAUUUUGAGAUUUCUUUUCUCUUUAUUCUUCGGUACAACAAAAGAUACUGAUUCUUUAAUGCAUAAAUAUAGAGAACCAAGGGGGAGAAGUCAUUAUUUAAGAAAGAAACAAAGGUAACUAAAAUAUUUCAGAUCUGUCGGUUGGUCAGUGUCCACUUCAUUGAGAGCGAGUUAAUUAGGAGAGUAUGAUUUGAAGAUAUCCUCCAACCCUUAUAAAUAUGCAUGUGAUCAACGUGCUCUAUUGUGAGAUUUAUUAUUAUAGUAUCAACUGUCACCUCUCUCUCUGUCUCUCUCUCUCAGCCCGUGACUGCAUGCAUCCCAAUAUUCGUUCUAGUCAUAUCCAGACUCACACAUUAUGAAUUUAAGAGCCAUCGGUCCAACUCAAGCUUGCUUCUUAAUGUUCAAUUUAAUGCACUAAGCAAUAUAUAUGCUUUAAGGUAACAACACUCUCUCGAGUGAAGUGAACGGGCCUCGGCGCCCACCUGAUUCAAAUCAGAGAGGACUAUAUUGGAUCUGAGCCCAACAUAAGUCACUGGAUCUGGUUCGAUGGAACCAAAUGAAGGACUCUCCUCUCUCACACACAACUAUAUCGAUGGCCACGCGUGCAAUGAGAAGACUCGUGGAAACCUAAUCAGCCACCGGCGGCACCGUCUUCCUCUCCAUCGGCGAAUGGCGGCGGCAGCAAUGUCUUCCUCAGCGGGCUCAUCGUUGGUAUCUUUCUCCUCCUCCUCCUCCUCCUUUGCCGUCGCCCACUCUGCCCCAACCGCCUCCCUCCAUCUUCCCGCCCACACAUUCGCCGCCAGCGUCCCCUCUUCUUCGCCUCGUCGUAGCCGUCUUCCCCCUUCCUCCCUGCGCCGGCGUUUUCCCUUCUCCUCCCUACGUCGGCGUCUUCUUUCAUUGUAUCAUCCUUUCACCCCCGCGGCCAGCGUCUUCUCCCCCCUUCGCUUCGCUGCAGCCGCCCCAGCAACCCAACCGACAAAGACAGCCACCUCAACCCACAGCAACCUUCUCCCGUACCUCCUCCUCCCUCUCCUUCUCCUCGGAUCCUUCAUCCUUGCCCCCCUCCCAACUGACAGCAACCCCUUCUUCAUCCUUCUCCUUCUACGUAAAUUGUUUUUUUGAUAUAGAUUUGAACAAGUAUUAUUUGGUCCUUUAAAUGAAUACUAUGUUUCUUUUUUUUGUUUUAGCGAUUACAUCUAUUAAUCAUGAUGUAUACUUUUAAAAUUUUAAGAAGCAUCUCUCUUCACUCGGGCGUGGAAAGAAAUGGCUAAUGGAAACUGAAUGCAGGUGGGCUAACGUGAGUGGUAGACGAAUGUCCUCUGAUCAGAUGAUUAGUUGAAUGUUUUCAACUUCCUUUUGGUUGGAAGCAGAUACAGAAAAUAUAUUAGUUUGGGUGCCCCUGAUUUGAGGUAGAAGAGGAAGCUGAACAUAGAGCAGGCAGCAAUAAGACUACUUUUCUUGUAUUUUUCUGCAAACAGUACGUGAUACUGCUUCAAAAGAUCAUGUUUUUGGUGCAAAAGAGGCUCUUUCGCUGUCUCCCAAGUAACAAGUCCACUAUCCAUCUUUCCUCCCAUCAACUUUGCAGUCUGUUUAACUUCUCCACUGCUAAAGACCAAAGUUCAGAGCAUAGUUCCAACUUUAUUGUGGUCGACUCCCUUCAUUCAUGUGAACUUUCCUCAGAGAAGGCUGCAAAAAACUCCAAGUAUCACACCUGUCACAAAAAUUCUUCGAGUCUUACCAUUGAGUUCUUUAAGCAGAGCGGUUGGAGUGAUGCACAAGUCAUGAAACUUAUCCAGAAGUCACCGCGGUUGCUGCGUACUAAGGUAGAAACUGUCCUGAAGCCCAGAAUGAGAUCUUUGAAGGACAUGGGAUUUUCUGACACUGAAAUAGUUCAGCUAGUUUCAUCAUGUCCAUCUGUACUAAUACGCGAUAUCCAACCGAAGAUCAACUUCUGGAGGUCACUACUUGGUUCUAAUGAGAGGUUACUGAAAGCCUCUAGGAGGAACAUGUUUCUACUUACUUCUAGCUUGGCUCGGAAGAUAGAACCUAAUAUAUCUCUCUUAAGGGAAUGUGGCAUCAGUGACAAACGCAUCGCGUAUAUGGUGGUGACAAAGCCGACCAUUAUUGGUCGAUCAAACAAAUAUAUAAAGGAAGCUAUCAAAUAUGUUGAGGAGUUGGGUGUGCCAUGUAACUG
rnacentral:lncRNA from 1 species